rfam:Dichanthelium oligosanthes cultivar Kellogg 1175 unplaced genomic scaffold Do_version_2_scaffold914, whole genome shotgun sequence.
UGGAUGCAGAUGAGGAGUCACAAGUUUUAAUGGGUAAUUUGCAUCUGAGGCAAUUCUUUGAUGUCACAACUUUUUUCACCUUGGAGAUCUGAUGCAUCCA